GACGAACGCUGGCGGCGUGCUUAACACAUGCAAGUCGAACGGAAAGGCCUGCUUUCCCUUGUGGAUUGCGGGUACUCGAGUGGCGAACGGGUGAGUAACACGUGAGUGAUCUGCCCCCAACUUGGGUAUAAGCCUGGGAAACUGGGUCUAAUUCCCGAUAGGACUGCAGGGUGGUGCCUGUGGUGGAAAACGAUUUUCUAGUGGUUGGGGAUGAGCUCGCGGCCUAUCAGCUUGUUGGUGGGGUAAUGGCCUACCAAGGCGGCGACGGGUAGCCGGCCUGAGAGGGUGGGCGGCCACAUUGGGACUGAGAUACGGCCCAGACGCCUACGGGAGGCAGCAGUGGGGAAUAUUGCACAAUGGGCGGAAGCCUGAUGCAGCGACGCCGCGUGGGGGAUGACGGCCUUCGGGUUGUAAACUCCUUUCGACCGCGAGGAAGCCACCUGGUUGGAAGGGUGGUGACGGUAGUGGUAGAAGAAGCACCGGCUAACUACGUG
rnacentral:rRNA from 1 species